CUGCAGAAAUGGCUCCAACGCUGUACUUCAAGCCCUGCAUUUCUCAUCCUUCAAUUAAUUGGAACCCAUCAAAAGUGUUUGUCAAUCCUCUCAAUGUAAACGCUAAAAUCAGUGGGAGAUUAGAGGUAGUAGCUAUGGGUAUGUUGUCUCCUAGAAAAUUUUUGCAGAAGAGAAGGAGAAUGGAAGUAUUCAAAAACGCCGCCGAUGAAGCAGACCAGAAGAAUUGGAGGGGAC
rnacentral:misc_RNA from 1 species